CGAGCGGGGACGCCCGGGCUCCACGAACAGCUGGCCCCGCCCCGAGCCCGCGGCGGCGGCGGCGGCGGCUGCCAGGUCCGCACCGCCGCGGUCCUAGUGCCACCCGGAUCGGAUCGCGCCGGGGGUUUGCAGAGCAUUUUCACAGGUUUGCUGGGGAAAAGUGGAACUCUACCUUUCACCCGAAUUAUCCGGAGGAUUUGCAUCCCAAUCGCCCGGAGGGUUUGUUAAAAAGGAAUUGAAAAGCACCGCCAGCAAAAUUUCAGAUUCCGGGUCGGCCAACUUUUUCGACUAAGCGCUGGGAAGACAAAGUGCACCCAAGAGAUUGUUAACCCUAAAAAAGAGGAAUCAACAGGUCAGAGGCAAAUAAGGUUCUCACUCUGUCACCUGGGCUAGAGCACAGUAGCAUCA